rnacentral:misc_RNA from 1 species
AUAGUCCUUUGCCACUCAAUCACUUUUACACCAUCAUUACAUAAACCAAAUAAAGUAUUUACUUGAGUAGUGUCAAGUUUCCUAUCCUGACUCAAACACCUAAAGGAAAUGGUGUCCCUAUGGUUAUUGGUUAUGGCCUGGAAAUCCAAUUUCAAUGAGCUUAAAAACUCAAAUGUCAAUUCUUUAGAAGCAAGUUCUUGAAUUUUAGCAAAAUCACUCCAACCUACAUUCUCCAAAUAUUCACUAACAGACUCAUAUAACCCUAUCUCCCUGAGACUAUGUUCAUUAAUAUACUUGGUGGCUAAAAUUUUCUUUUUAGAAAGUGUCUCAUAAUUUUUCCUCAUAUUAAAAUCUCUAAAAGUCCAUGGGUAAAAUGAAUUUACCUUCUCGCCAGAUUAAGGGAUAACUGGAGCAGUUUGAGACACUGUUGGGGAAUGAUGGAGAGGUGAUUGAACCCUAGUUAGAGCAGAAGAGACCUGCAGAGAAAUAGGACCUUGGGCAGUAGAGCGGAUACUGGCACUGACAGGUUGUGGAG